rnacentral:tRNA from 1 species
GCCUUCGUGGUGUAACGGUAACACACUCGGCGCGUAUUCAAGAGGUCCAGGUUCAAGUCCCGGCGAGGGCA